rnacentral:rRNA from 1 species
GACGAACGCUGGCGGCGUGCUUAACACAUGCAAGUCGAACGGAAAGGCCCUGCUCUUGCGGGGUUCUCGAGUGGCGAACGGGUGAGUAACACGCGAGUAACCUGUCCCUGACUUAGGGAUAACACUAGGAAACUGGGGCUCUUAUCGGAUAGGAGCUCUUGCUCCACGGUGGGGGUUGGUAAGUUUCGGUGGUUGGGGCUGGACUCGCGGCUUAUCAGCUUGUUGGUGAGGUAGGGGCGUACAAAGGUUACGACGGGUAGCCGGCCUGAGAGGGGGGCCGGGCACAUGGGGCCUGAGAUACGGACCAGACUCCUACGGGAGGCAGCAGUGGGGAGUAUUACGGAAUGGGCGGAAGCCUGAUGCAGCGACGCCGCGUGCGGGAUGACGGCCUUCGAGUUGUAAACCGAUUUCGCCUGUGACGAGGCGUGAGUGACGGUAAUGGGUAAAGAAGCACCGGCUAACUACGUG